rnacentral:rRNA from 1 species
GGUGAAUGCUGGCGGCGUGCCUAACACAUGCAAGUCGAGCGGCAGCGCGGGGUGCUUGCACCCUGUCGGCGAGCGGCGAACGGCUGAGUAACGCGUAGGAAUUUGCCCCAAAGUGAGGAAUAACUGCCCGAAAGGGUAGCUAAUGCCGCAUAUGGUCUUCGGAUUAAAGGAUUUAUCCGCUUUGGGAGAAGCCUGCGUUGGAUUAGGUUGUUGGUAGGGUAAUGGCCUACCAAGCCGACGAUCCAUAGCUGGUCUGAGAGGAUGAUCAGCCAGACUGGAACUGAGACACGGUCCAGACUCCUACGGGAGGCAGCAGUGAGGAAUCUUCCACAAUGGGCGAAAGCCUGAUGGAGCAACGCCGCGUGAAGGAUGAAGGCCUUCGGGUUGUAAACUUCUUUUAUGAGUGAAGAAUAUGACGGUAACUCAUGGAUAAGCACCGGCUAACUACGUG